rnacentral:rRNA from 1 species
AUUGAACGCUGGCGGCAGGCUUAACACAUGCAAGUCGAACGGUAACAUAGAGAAGCUUGCUUCUUUGAUGACGAGUGGCGGACGGGUGAGUAAUGCUUGGGAAUCUGGCUUAUGGAGGGGGAUAACUACGGGAAACUGUAGCUAAUACCGCGUAAUAUCGAAAGAUUAAAGUGUGGGACCUUCGGGCCACAUGCCAUAGGAUGAGCCCAAGUGGGAUUAGGUAGUUGGUGAGGUAAAGGCUCACCAAGCCGACGAUCUCUAGCUGGUCUGAGAGGAUGACCAGCCACACUGGGACUGAGACACGGCCCAGACUCCUACGGGAGGCAGCAGUGGGGAAUAUUGCGCAAUGGGGUCAACCCUGACGCAGCCGUGCCGCGUGAAUGAAGAAGGCCUUCGGGUUGUAAAGUUCUUUCGGUAGCGAGGAAGGUGGUUAGUUUAAUAGGCUAGCCAAUUGACGUUAACUACAGAAGAAGCACCGGCUAACUCCGUG